UCAUCACUCUGGCCUUUUGGCUUAGAUCAAGUGUAGUAUCUGUUCUUAAUAGUUUAACCACUAUUAUGAGGGCACCGCCCUCAUUCUUGGUUAUCUGAUUUUUGCCGCCCCUGCUUUGUCGGGCUCUGCUUGCAACCCGACAAGUGCAAUGACCUUGCUAUUGCACUACUGGCUUGUGUUGUUAGGGGAUC
rnacentral:snRNA from 1 species